UAGAUCUAGGGUUUGAAGGAGAGUUAGGGCUUCCGCUUGGGUGGCCGAGGAAGCAUCAACGACUUGUGCGAAGCCAUCUACGAGACAGCCUCGUGAGUCCCUGGAUAGACACGCAAUCACUGCUCUGUUCUGUGCUGGGUUCGGGUCAUCUUCAGUCGCUGCUUCAACUUCGUGCAAUUCAAUAAAGGACGCGUCCACGUUGAUCUUUAGGGUUCCGAGAGGGGGAGGACUCCAUCGAGCAAGGGAUGGUUACCGAAGAUAUGCUUGUUCCGGUUCUUCCAUAUACACCAGAGAAGAGCAACCACUUGGUCGAAAAACUUGGGGUGUUGCGCUCCAAACGUGAGCUGUCCAUGGACAAAGUAAGAGUGUGUGUUCAGUGGUUUCUGCUUCCAUGUGGCAAAUGGAACAUAAAGGAUCAGGUAUUAUCUUUCUCCUGUGAAGAUUAUCUCUUGUUGGUAGGGCG